UGGGGAAUUUUCCGCAAUGGGCGAAAGCCUGACGGAGUGACGCCGCGUGUGGGACGAAGGCCUUCGGGUCGUAAACCACUGUCAGUGGGAAAGAUGGGUGCCGGUGUUAAUACCAUCGGCAUCUGACGGUACCUGCAGAGGAAGCCCCGGCCAACUCUGUGCCAGCAGCCGCGGUAAGACAGAGGGGGCAAGCGUUGCUCGGAAUUACUGGGCGUAAAGGGCGCGUAGGCGGGAUGGUAAGUCGGUCGUGAAAUCCCUCGGCUCAACCGAGGAACGUCGAUCGAUACUACCGUUCUUGAGGAUUGCAGAGGAGACUGGAAUUCCCGGUGUAGCGGUGAAAUGUGUAGAGAUCGGGAGGAACACCGGUGGCGAAGGCGGGUCUCUGGGCAAUUCCUGACGCUGAGGCGCGAAAGCGUGGGGAGCAAACGGGAUUAGAUACCCACGUAGUCCCUGAGCGGGCUGGCAAGGCGCAU
rnacentral:rRNA from 1 species